CCUACGGGAGGCUGCAGUGAGGAAUAUUGGUCAAUGGGCGAGAGCCUGAACCAGCCAAGUCGCGUGAGGGAAGACGGUCCUAUGGAUUGUAAACCUCUUUUGCCGGGGAGCAAAAAGCGGUACGUGUACCGCACCGAGAGUACCCGGAGAAAAAGCAUCGGCUAACUCCGUGCCAGCAGCCGCGGUAAUACGGAGGAUGCGAGCGUUAUCCGGAUUUAUUGGGUUUAAAGGGUGCGCAGGCGGAGGGUUAAGUCAGCGGUAAAAUUUAGGGGCUCAACCCCGACAAGCCGUUGAAACUGGUUUUCUAGAGUGGGCGAGAAGUAUGCGGAAUGCGUGGUGUAGCGGUGAAAUGCAUAGAUAUCACGCAGAACUCCGAUUGCGAAGGCAGCAUACCGGCGCCCAACUGACGCUCAGGCACGAAAGCGUGGGUAUCGAACAGGAUUAGAUACCCUAGUAGUC
rnacentral:rRNA from 1 species